AGUCGAGCGGAACGAGUUAUCUGAACCUUCGGGGAACGAUAACGGCGUCGAGCGGCGGACGGGUGAGUAAUGCCUAGGAAAUUGCCCUGGUGUGGGGGAUAACCAUUGGAAACGAUGGCUAAUACCGCAUAAUACCUACGGGUCAAAGAGGGGGACCUUCGGGCCUCUCGCGUCAGGAUAUGCCUAGGUGGGAUUAGCUAGUUGGUGAGGUAAUGGCUCACCAAGGCGACGAUCUCUAGCUGGUCUGAGAGGAUGAUCAGCCACACUGGAACUGAGACACGGUCCAGACUCCUACGGGAGGCAGCAGUGGGGAAUAUUGCACAAUGGGCGCAAGCCUGAUGCAGCCAUGCCGCGUGUGUGAAGAAGGCCUUCGGGUUGUAAAGCACUUUCAGUCGUGAGGAAGGUAGUGUAGUUAAUAGCUGCAUUAUUUGACGUUAGCGACAGAAGAAGCACCGGCUAACUCCGUGCCAGCAGCCGCGGUAAUACGGAGGGUGCGAGCGUUAAUCGGAAUUACUGGGCGUAAAGCGCAUGCAGGUGGUUUGUUAAGUCAGAUGUGAAAGCCCGGGGCUCAACCUCGGAAUAGCAUUUGAAACUGGCAGACUAGAGUACUGUAGAGGGGGGUAGAAUUUC
rnacentral:rRNA from 1 species